rnacentral:tRNA from 1 species
GGCACUGUAGCUAUAUGGUUAGAGCACUGGCCCUGCAGACCAGGGGCGGCAGGUUCAAACCUUGCCUCGGCCU